GACGAACGCUGGCGGCGUGCUUAACACAUGCAAGUCGAACGAAAAUACCAAGCUUGCUUGGUUGAUUAGUGGCGAACGGGUGAGUAACACGUGAGUAACCUGCCCCUUACUUUCCUGGAUAACUGCUCGAAAGGGUAGCUAAUACGGGAUAUUCUGACCAGCCUGCAUGGGUGGGUUUGGAAAGGUUGUUGUUCUGGUAAGGGAUGGGCUCGCGGCCUAUCAGCUUGUUGGUGGGGUGAUGGCCUACCAAGGCUUUGACGGGUAGCCGGCCGGAGAGGGUGGACGGUGAGAGUGUGACUGAGAUACGGCCCAGACUCCUACGGGAGGCAGCAGUGGGGAAUAUAGCAGAAUGGGCGAAAGCCUGAUGCAGCGACGCCGCGUGAGGGAUGAAGGCCUUCGGGUUGUAAGCCUCUUUCGUCAGGGAACAAGGCACUGCUUUUUUGGUGGUGUUGAGGGUACCUGGAAAAGAAGCGCCGGCUAACUACGUG
rnacentral:rRNA from 1 species